rnacentral:rRNA from 1 species
CCUACGGGUGGCAGCAGUGGGGAAUAUUGCACAAUGGGGGAAACCCUGAUGCAGCGACGCCGCGUGGGUGACGAAGCAUUUCGGCACGUAAAGCCCUGUCAGCAGGGAAGAAAGAUGCCGGUAUCUGACUAAGAAGCCCCGGCUAAAUACUGGCCAGAAGCCGCGGUAAUACGUAGGGUGCAAGCGUUAUCCGGAUUUACUGGGUGUAAAGGGGGCGCAGGCGGCACUCCAAGCCUGGGGUGAAAGCCCGGGGCCCAACCCCGGGACUGCAUUUGGAACUGGGGAGCUGGAGUGCAGGAGGGGCAGGCGGAAUUCCUGGUGUAGCGGUGAAAUGCGUAGAUAUUAGGAGGAACACCAGUGGCGAAGGCGGCCUGCUGGACUGAGACUGACGCUGAGGCUCGAAAGCGUGGGGAGCAAACAGGAUUAGAUACCCCGGUAGUC